GCCCUCAUAGUUUAAUGAUAAAACAUAUCAAUGGUAAUGAUAAAAAACAAGUUUGAUUCUUGUUGAGGGCACCA
rnacentral:tRNA from 2 species